rnacentral:rRNA from 1 species
GACGUAGGGUGCAAGCGUUGUCCGGAUUUAUUGGGCGUAAAGAGCUCGUAGGCGGCUCGUCGCGUCGGCCGUGAAAACCUAGGGCUUAACCCUGGGCUUGCGGUCGAUACGGGCGGGCUAGAGUUCGGUAGGGGAGACUGGAAUUCCUGGUGUAGCGGUGAAAUGCGCAGAUAUCAGGAGGAACACCGGUGGCGAAGGCGGGUCUCUGGGCCGAUACUGACGCUGAGGAGCGAAAGCGUGGGGAGCGAACAGG